UUUCCGUAGGUGAACCUGCGGAAGGAUCAUUACUGAGUGAGGGCCCCUCGGGGUCCAACCUCCCACCCGUGUUUAACGAACCUUGUUGCUUCGGCGGGCCCGCCUCACGGCCGCCGGGGGGCAUCUGCCCCCGGGCCGCGCCCGCCGAAGCCACCUGUGAACGCUGUCUGAAGUAUGCAGUCUGAGACAAUUAUUAAAUUAAUUAAAACUUUCAACAACGGAUCUCUUGGUUCCG
rnacentral:misc_RNA from 1 species